rnacentral:lncRNA from 1 species
AAACAAUCCCAAUUGAUCAAGGGAUAACUCAUCCUUGAUCAAAUUCAUUCAUCUUUCUAAGUGAUGAUCCUUAAGGAUUUUCAAACCACAAGAUCCAAUGAAUUUGAUCAAAGUUGAAUCAAUUCAACCUCAAUCAACACCAAACAAAAGAGAAUUGAAGAUAACAAGUCAAGAAGUCAAUGAUAUUUUUUUGAAUUAAAAUAAAAUACAAAUAAAAAAUAAACAAACCAAAUGGAACCUCAAAU